rnacentral:rRNA from 1 species
UACAGGGGGCUCGAGCGUUAGUCGGAAUCACUGGGCUUAAAGGGUGCGUAGGCGGCUCGCCAAGUGCUUUGUGAAAUCCCACAGCUCAACUGUGGAACAGCAGGGCAAACUGGCGAGCUUGAGGCAGGUAGGGGCCGGAAGAACAGUUGGUGGAGCGGUGAAAUGCGUAGAUAUCAACUGGAAUGCCGAUGGGGAAGCCGUCCGGCUGGGCCUGUCCUGACGCUGAGGCACGAAAGCGUGGGGAGCAAACAGG